GGAUGAAGAACGCAGCGAAAUGCGAUACUUGGUGUGAAUUGCAGAAUCCCGUGAACCAUCGAGUCUUUGAACGCAAGUUGCGCCCGAAGCCAUUAGGCCGAGGGCACGCCUGCCUGGGCGUCACACGUCGUUGCCCCCCCAUCUACUCCUUCGGGAUUGCGGGGGGCGGAUGAUGGCCUCCCGUGCGCCUCGUCGCGCGGUUGGCAUAAAUGCCAAGUCCUCGGCGACGCACGCCACGACAAUCGGUGGUUGCGAAACCUCGGUUGCCCGUCGUGUGCGGUCGUCGCGCAUCGAGGGCUCGAAAAAAUUGCCGGGCUCCGUUUCGGCUUUCAACGCGACCCCAGGUCAGGCGGGGUUACCCGCUGAAUUUAAGCAUAUCAAUAAGCGGAGGA
rnacentral:misc_RNA from 1 species